rnacentral:rRNA from 1 species
GACUCCUAUCAGUGAGUAUUUGUUCUCGGAAGGACUAGAUAUGAAUAUUGGAAUAAUCAGACAUAGUNCGAUAAGGUUGUAUGUCUAAAGGGAAACAGCCCAGAACAAGAGUUAAUAAGGUUCCAAAAUUAUUGUUAAGUGAAAUUAAGGCAGUAUUUAUCCAAAUCGGCCAGGGAAUAGGCUUAGAAGCGGCCAUUUUYUGAAGACCUCGUAACAGAGCACUGGUCUUGUUUUAAUGAUAAUAGGGAUAAAAGCACCGAAAAUUUAACGGAUCUAAACAAUAUACCGAGACCUUGUCCAAAUAUAUUAAUGUAUCUAAAUUUUACAUUGUAUAUUAGGGGUAGCGGAACAUUGGGGAAGUUUCUUAUUAUGCCUUUAUAAGGCAUAACAUAAUUAACAACCCAAGCGAGAAUGCUGACAUGAGUAACGAUAAAGGGGAAUACCCUCGCCUAAAGCUUAUGGAAUUUAAUUAAAGUUACGGCCUCUAAGUUUAUUAUAUAUUUAAUGAAUAAUCUGUUAUUUAUUAAUAAUCCCAAAGGGGGUAAACCGAUGAGCAAAUCUAACGAUUUAUAGAAAAUAUCAUUUUUACAUAGUGACAAAUGAUCUGGAAAAGCUGUAUAUCUCAUUUGCUAAAUAUGAAUAAACUAAAACAGAUGAUAUGUUUAGCAGAUGGUUACCGUACCUAAAUACUACCACCAAGUAAGCAAG